AUGGCCAAGUCCAAGAACCACACCACACACAACCAGUCCCGAAAAUGGCACAGAAAUGUCAUCAAGAAACCCCUAUCACAAAGAUACAAAUCUCUUAAGGGGGUGGACCCCAAGUUCCUGGGGAACAUGUGCUUUACCAAGAAGCACAAGAAGAAGGGCCUAAAGAAGAUGCAGGCCGACAGUGCCAAGGCCGUGAGUACAUGUGCCAAGGCUAUCGAGGCCCUCGUAAAGCCCAAAGAGGUUAAGCCCAAGAUCCCAAAGGGUGUCAGCUGUGAGCUCAAUUGACUUGCCUACAUUGCCUACCCCAAAUUUUGGACGUGUGCUUGUGCCUGCAUUGCCAAAGGGCUCAGGCUGUGCCAGCCAAAGGCCAAGGCCCAGGACCAAACCAAGGCCCAGGUCCAAAUCAAGGCCCAGGCUGCAGCUCCAGCUUCAGUUCCAACUCAGGCUCCCAAAGGUGCCCAGGCCCCUACAAAGGCUUCAGGGUAG
rnacentral:lncRNA from 1 species